rnacentral:rRNA from 1 species
AUGAGGAACGGCAGCACCGUGUGCGACGCGGCGGCGGCUGUGGGGCUGGGCGUGGCGCCGCGGUACAGGGGGGUGCGGAAGCGGCCGUGGGGCAGGUUCGCGGCGGAGAUCCGGGACCCGGCCAAGCGGGCGCGGGUCUGGCUCGGCACCUACGACUCCGCCGAGGCCGCCGCGCGGGCCUACGACGUCGCCGCGCGCACCCUCCGCGGCCCGCUCGCCACCACCAACUUUCCCCAGGACCCCGUCUCCUUCCCCACGCUCCCCACGCUCCCGCAUCCGUCUCGACCGGCUUCCCCCGGCCCAGCCUGCAGCGCCAGCUCCACCGUCGAGUCCUACAGCGGGCCCAGAGCCGCGAACGCGCCUCGGGCCGUCCCGCGCGUGUCAGCGCCGGCACCUUUGCUGGCGGAGCGCUCCGGCGGCGACGCAGGAUGCCAGAGCGACUGCGCCUCGUCGGCCUCCGUCGUGGACGACGGCGGCGACGAGGCCGCCUCGGCCGCCGUCCGGCCUCGCGCGCCCUUCGUGUUCGACCUCAACCUCCCGCCGCCGUCGGACGAGCUGUGCACCGAGCUACGGCUCUUCUAG